rnacentral:lncRNA from 12 species
GGGUCGGGGGGCGGGGGGACACCCCAGUACCUUCAGGUCGUACUUCCUGUGCACGGGCAGGCGGUGGCUGAACAGGUUCCUCAUCACCAGCAGGUAGGUGUCCUCGCUGUCCACGCUGACCCGGUACAUGCCCAGGAACCGCGGCAGCAGCGUCUGCCCGUGGCACUGCACCACGUACUGCGGACAGACGGACAGACAGAGGGACAGACAGCUGUGCUGGGGACAGACAGAGGGACAGACGGACACUGCACCACGUACUGCGGACAGACGGACACUGCACCACGUACUGCGGACAGACGGACAGACAGAGGGACAGACAGCUGUGCUGGGGACAGACAGCUGUGCUGGGGACAGGCAGAGGGACACAGGGACAGAGGGACAGCUGUGCUGGGGACAGAGGGACAGACAGACACUGCACCGCGGACUGCGGACAGAGGGACAGACGGACACAGGGACAGCUGUGCUGGGGACACAGGGACAGAGGUGACAAAGCUAUGCUGGGAGGGGCACAGAGGUGACACACAGAGGUGACAUUGGGCACACAGAGGUGACACACAGAGGUGACACACAGAGAUGACGCCGGGCACACACAGAGGUGGCACACAGAGGUGACACACAGAGGUGGCAUUGGGCACACAGAGGUGACACCAGGGACACAGAGGUGACACACAGAGGUGGCACCGGGCACACACAGAGGUGACACACAGAGAUGACACCGGGCACACACAGAGGUGACACACAGAGAUGACACCGGGCACACACAGAGGUGACACACAGAGAUGACACCGGGCACACACAGAGGUGACACACAGAGAUGACACCGGGCACACACGUGCUGGGGGGGACACACAGGUGACACUGGGGGGCACAGAGGUGACACUGGGGGGCACAGAGGUGACACACAGAGGUGACACACAGAGGUGACACACAGAGGUGACACCGGGCACACACAGAGGUGACACACAGAGAUGACACCGGGCACACACAGAGGUGACACACAGAGGUGACACCGGGCACACACAGAGGUGACACACAGAGAUGACACCGGGCACACACAGAGGUGACACACAGAGGUGACAGUGAGCACACACAGAGGUGACACACAGAGGUGACACCGGGCACACACAGAGGUGACACACACAGAGGUGACACACAGAGGUGACACCGGGCCCCCCCGCACCUGGUGGUAGUGGGACAGCAGCCCGUGCACGUCGGCCACGCCCUCGCUGGACAGCUCCUUCAGCACCAGCGUGCGAUCCGCCGACAGCAGCAGGUGCCGCCCGCCCGCCCAGCGCGGGGCGCUGCGGGUCAGGGACACCUGCGGGCACAGCGGGAGGGGACAGGGGACAGGGGACAGGGGACAGGGGACAGGGGACAGGGACAGGGGACAGGGGGGGGGGGGGGGGGGGGGGGGGGGGGGGGGGGGGGGGGGGGGGGGGGGGGGGGGGGGGGGGGGGGGGGGGGGGGGGG